rnacentral:lncRNA from 1 species
AUCUUAGUAAGGUCAGUUUCGAUCAAAAAAACUUCAGCAAGGAUGGUUCUGAUCAAAAAAAUCCCUGUAAGGUCAGUUUCGAUCAAGAAAACUUUAGUAGAGUUCGUCAGACAGGAGCUUCGGCCUUUCAUACUACUUUUAUGUUCAAACACGAGUUAAUGAAUCUAAAAAUUUAUAUAUAUAGUAACAUGAUAUUACAGCAUCAUUAAUAGUAUAUAUGCAGAUUGAUCGAAUUUCAUGGCUUAGGGAGUGGGGUCU